rnacentral:lncRNA from 1 species
UCAGUGGAGAGUCUGCUUCUCCCUUUCCCUCUGUCCCUCUCCCCUGCUUGUGCUCCCUCCCUCUCUCAAAUAAAUAAACAAAAUCUUAAAAAAAAAAAACACCCUCCUUCCAUGUUGUACACCUGAAACUAAUGUAGUGUGUCAACUCUACUCAAAAAUAUAUAGAGCUAUUUAAAAAAUGAUAAAGUUUAACAUAAAACUUUUGAGCAGUUAAAAAUCCCCCUUAACACCAAUAUUUUAUAGAAUCCAUUUUCACUUACAUUUACUCACAUAUUUAUAAUUUUCUGUGUUCUUUAUUCAUUCUCAAAAUUCUGACUUUCCGUUAAGGACCAUUUUCUUUUUCCCAGAAGGGUGUCAUUUAGAAUCUUCAUGAUUGAGGGAUUACUGGUAGCAAAAUGGAGGCAUGUUGAAGUGCCUUUGCAUUUGUCCUAGAGGGUCUCAUUUCACUGUGUUCUGCUUUCCUGAGAAAUCAACUGUGAGUCCAGCGAUUGCUACUUUGACAUGUGACCUGGCUUGGGUUGGCAGAAGCACGUGGAGCAGCCCAUAUGAAGAUGCACAUGGAGGCAUCACGGCUGAGCUGGGGACACUCUAAGGAGAUGUGGAUGCUGGGUAAAAUCAGAAGAGUUCGAGGCCGAGAGACCAGAGCCCAGACAGCAAAAAGGAUGUCAAAGCCAGAAAGGUAGAUAUACAGAGAAGGAAGAGACUGUGGUACAUGCUGGGAAUUAAACAUUAUUCAAAUGGCGCUAAGAUGAAAUGCGCUAUCAAGCUAUGAGAAAACAUGUGGGAGCCUUAAAUGCAUCCCACUAAGUACAAGAGGCCAGUCUGAAAAGGCCAAGUACUGAGUUAUUCCAACUGCAUAAUAGUUAUGGACUGAAGGUUUGCAUUACCCCCAAAGUUCCUAUGUGGAAAUCCUGAUCCCCUUGAUAUGAUGCUAUUAGGAUGUGGGAUGUUUGAGAAGUAAUUAGGCCAUGCAGGUGGAGCCCUCUUGAAUGGAAUUAAGUGCCCUGAGGAAAGAGACCCCAGACCCCUAGCUGUCUGCAGGGUGAGGACACUAUGAGAAGACAGCCAUCUAGGAACCAGGUUCUCACCAAACACCCAACUGCCUUCAUCGCAGACUUCCCAGCCUCCAGAACUGGGAGAAAUAAAUGUUGGUUAUUUAAGCCACCUUGUCAAUGGUAUUCCUGUUAUAGCAGCCCCAAAUGACUAAGACAAUAAUGUUCUGAAAAAGGCAAAAUUAUGAGGGACAGUGAAAAGGUCAGUGGUUGCCAGGCAUUAGGAGGGAGGAAUGGGAGGGGGGGAACCAGAGGAUUUUGAGGGCAAUGCAGCUAUUCUGUGUGAUGCUAUGAUGGCUGAUACAUAUUUUUACACAUUUGUCAAAGCCCAUAAACUGUACAAAAUCAAGAGUGAACCCUAAUGUCAAUGAUAGGCUUUGGGUGAUAAUAAUGUGUUAAUGAAGGUUUAUCAAUUGCAACAAAUGUGUCGCUUUGGUGCGGGGGUAUCGGUGGUGGGGGAGGAGGUAUGGAAGUGGGGGGAAUUGGGGAGUUCUCUGUAUUUUUCUGCUCACUUUUGCUGAAAACCUAAAAUUGCUUUAAAAAAUAAAGUCUAUUCUGGAGCGCCUGGGUGGCUCAGUCGGUUAGGCGUCCAACUCUUGAUUUCAGCUCAGGUUAUGAUCUCAGGGUGGUGAGAUUGAGCCUCACAUCGGGCUCUGCACUGGGUUUGCAGCCUGCUUGAGAUUCUCUCUCUCCCUCUCCUCAACUCCGCUCUCUCUCUCUCUCUAAAAAAACAAGGUCUACUAAAAUAUGUACAUAAAGAUUUAAUAUUCUAAUUAUUUUAAGCGUACCGUUGAGUGGCAUUAGGAAGACACAAUGAUGUGUAGUCACCACUGCUAUUUUCACAACUUUUUCAUCAUCCAAACAGAAACUUUAUAUCCAUUAAGCUAUAACUCCCCAUUUCCCCUUCCCCCAGCCCAUGGUAACCUCUAUGGUACGGACUUUAUGAAUUUGCCUGUUCCAGGCACAGCAUAGAAGUAGAAUCGUACAACAUUCGUCCUUUUGCAUCUAGCUUAACUCACUUAGCAGAAAGUUUUCAAGGUUUGCUCAUGUUGUAGCAUGUUAUCAGAACUUCCUUUUUAUGGCUCAACACUAUUUCAUUGUGUAUAUAUACCACAUUUAAAUUUGUUUGUUUAUUUAUUUAUUUAUUUAUUUAUUUAUUUAUUUUAUACCACAUUUUAAAAAAUCCAUUUAUCUGUGUAUGGACACUUGGGUUGUUUCCGUCUUUGGGCCACCAUGAACAAUUCUGUUUUGCAUGUUGAUGUACAAGUAUCUGUUUGAACCCGUGAUUUCAAUUCUUUUGAGUAUAUACCUAAGAGUGGAAUUGCUGGAUUGUAUGGUAACUCUAUGUAUAACUUUCUGAGAAAUUGCCAAACUGUUUUCCCCAGCAGCUGCCCCAUUUUACGUUCCCACCAGAAUGUACAAGGUUUCAAUUUCUCUGCGUUCUCCACAUUUAUCCUUUUCUGUUAUUUAUUUUGAAAUUGUGACCAUCCUAGUGGGUGUUAAGGUGAUAAUUUUAUUGUGGUUUUUAUUUUCAUUUCCAUAGUGAUUAACAAUGCUGAAUUAUAUUUUCAUGUGCUUGUUGGCUUUGUGUGUAUUUUCUUUGGGGAAAUGUCUAUUCCAGUCAUCUGCCAGUAUUUUAGUUGAGUUAUAUUGUUGUUGUUUUGAGUUGUAUGAAUAACUCAACUUUAUGUAUUCUGAAUAUUAAUCUCUUAGCAUAUAUAUGAUUUACAAGUAUUUACUCCCAUUACAUGGGAUGUCUUUUUCUUGAUAGUGGCCUUUGGAGCACAAAAUUUUUUUUAUUUUUUUUCAAAAGGUUUUUUUUAAUUUGAUAUAAUCUAUUUUAUCUAAUUUUUCUUUUGUUCCCUGCACAUUUAAUAUCAUAUUUUUAAAGCCAUUGACAAAUCUAAGGUCAUGAAGAUUUUCCCUCAGAUUUUCUUCUAAGAAUUUUAUAGCUUUAGAUAUUAAAUUUAGGUCUCUGAUCCAUUUAGAGUUAACUUUGGUAAAUGUGUAAUGUAAGGCUCCAACUUCAUUCUUUUGCCUGAGGACAUCCAGUUUUCCUAGACAGCACCGUUUGUUGAAAAGACCUUCUUUCCCCCUCUUCGCCCCCGUCCAUCCGCAGAUGGUCUUGGCACCCUUGUUGAGAAUCGGUUGACACUGUGGAGAUUUGUUGUUCUUUUUGUAGCUCCUUUAGUUAGAAGGUUAGGUUGUUUGAGAUUUUUCUUGCUUCUUAAUGUUGGCCUGUACUGCUACAUACUUC